rnacentral:lncRNA from 10 species
CAAAGGGAAAAGGCCCUCUGGACAUUCCACAGAUUAUCACGUUAGUUCACUAUACUGAUGGCAGUCUGUUAACUGGAUCUGACGAGCAAGCAGGGGAAAGUACUCUGGACGCCCCAAGUAAGGCACACGAGCCAGGCUGGGAGAUAAAUUCCACGAAGCUUUAGAGGCCUGCUACAUCAUGAUCUUAUUACCAUGAAGUUAUUGCCAUAAAAUCUGGCAAAUCCCAUGGUACAAGAGGUAUUUGCAAUGGAGAAAGACACCACACACACAGAGCCCCUGGAGAACUUCAAAGAAGAGUCAUGGCCCAGACUCCUUGGGCUCUGGAAGAAGGCCGUGCAGAGAACGAUACCAUUCAGAAAGAGGUUCCUGCUCUCCUGUGGGAACCUCUAGAGAAAGAGUUUCUGGUCAUGGACGUUAAGUGACCAUGUGGUCAGAGAUGCCCAUCUUGAGCUAGGAUCUGUUAAACCCACCAAAUCAGAAGGUCAGGCAAGCCCAGCAGCAUCCAGUAUACAUGGGAAAAGACACCUCCUGGGACUGCGAACAAGCAGAGGGCAAAAGAAAGCGACAUAAUCCGGGGAUCGGAACCCCCACGUCAUCUACCAGUGUUGCACUGACACCUCUUCUUCAGUCCACACCUGUGGCCUCCUGCAGAGGUCCCUCUGACCAGCCGAUGGAGAAGGAAGGGGCCUGAGCUUCACUCAUUGGCAGGUUAGCUAGAAACGUUAGUGAGCCCCCAAAGGACUGCUCCUGCACUGCAGCCCACUCAGGUGGUGGUGAUGGUGGCGAUGGGGUAACCCUCCCAGGGGGCCGAGCUUUGAGUGCAGGACCUGGUCGUGCACUUGUAGGGAGAGAAGCGAACCAAAUCAGUGGUUCUAUUUCUAGCAGUUUUAGGCUCUACAGGGCCAUUCCCAGAGCGGGACGCUUCCACCGGAAGACGCUAUUAAGACAGCUUCCACCUGGUCACUUCGGGCUCCUGGUAUCAACAAUCUGGCAGAGAGAAUGAAGUUCCCAUACUGGCAGGGGUAACUGGCUGGGAGCAUCAUGAGAAGGGAGUGUGCCCUGAGAUGCCAGCGCUUGAGCUUCGAGAGCACGAGGGGGUAGGUUCUGGUGGACAGGGACCCCGGUGUGACGACAACUGCAAGGUUCACCUUGGACCCUGGCACUAUCCUCCCACCAGGCUGGAAAAGGAGACCAGGACAUGGCCCCAGCACAGCCCCCAGGUGGGCAAACCGGCAGGCUGGGCUGGCUAAGCUCUUGGUGUUCUUUGUGUGGGGGUAGGUGGGGCUGGUGAGGGCGGGACUGGCUGCAGGUCCUUCAGCGGGUCCCUGCUGGACCUCCGUGGCGGGGACAG